rnacentral:rRNA from 1 species
UCCAGACUCCUACGGGAGGCAGCAGUGGGGAAUAUUGCACAAUGGGCGCAAGCCUGAUGCAGCCAUGCCGCGUGUAUGAAGAAGGCCUUCGGGUUGUAAAGUACUUUCAGCGGGGAGGAAGGUGUUGCGGUUAAUAACCGCAGCAAUUGACGUUACCCGCAGAAGAAGCACCGGCUAACUCCGUGCCAGCAGCCGCGGUAAUACGGAGGGUGCAAGC